CGUUGAUUAGACGGGUGUGUAAGCGCAGCGAUGCGUUGAGCUAACCGGUACUAAUGAACCGUGAGGCUUAACCUUACAACGCCAAAG
rnacentral:rRNA from 1 species